ACGCUCGACACCUACGGGAGGCAGCAGGUGGGGAAUAUUGCACAAUGGGGGAAACCCUGAUGCAGCGACGCCGCGUGGAGGAAGAAGGUCUUCGGAUUGUAAACUCCUGUCCCAGGGGACGAUAAUGACGGUACCCUGGGAGGAAGCACCGGCUAACUACGUGUCAGCAGCCGCGGUAAUCUGAGCGGGCUGGCAAGGC
rnacentral:rRNA from 1 species